rnacentral:rRNA from 1 species
AUUGAACGCUGGCGGCAGGCCUAACACAUGCAAGUAGAGCGGAGCGGCGGACGGGUGAGUAAUGCCUAGGAAUCUGCCUGGUAGUGGGGGAUAACGUCCGGAAACGGGCGCUAAUCCCGCAUACUAUAAGAUUCGCCUAGGUCGGAUUAGCUAGGUGGUGGGGUAAAGGCCUACCAAGGCGACGAUCCGUAACUGGUCUGAGAGGAUGAUCAGUCAAACUGGAACUGAGACACGGUGCAGACGCCUACGGGAGGCAGCAGUGGGGAAUAUUGGACAAUGGGCGAAAGCCUGAUCCAGCCAUGCCGCGUGUGUGAAGAAGGUCUUCGGAUUGUAAAGCACUUUAAGUUGGGAGGCGUUACCAACAGAAUAAGCACCGGCUAACUUCGUGCCAGCCGCCGCGGUAAUAC